rnacentral:lncRNA from 1 species
GAAGUUCUACCUUGGUCCAGACCCAAGUGCCCCUUGUGCUUCUAGCAGAUGUAAACCCACAAUACUCUCCUGGACUGGCCCUCACCAAGAAGCAGAAACCCUCUGGCUGUUCCAACACCUACCAAGGCACCAAUGUAGUGACCAUGGAGCUCCAGGCUACCUCCAGCCUCUGCAGCAAACCUUCUCCAAAUAACACCUUGAUGUCACAAUGAGCAGCAGACAGGGACAUCUGGCUGCUGUUGACAACCCCCUAACAAACAACAUAAACUGGGACGGGAACAUGGAAGACCUUAUGGGCUCAGACAAAUAAGGAGCCCAACAGAGAUCCACAUCCAUCCUCACCCAGCACAGUUUUGGCUCCCCUGCUUCCAGUUACAGACAAACAUCUCAUGGCAGCUCACAAGGGAGGAUUCAAACAGAGCACUGACACCUCACAGGGCAGCCCAAAACAAGAGACCCAGGUCAAGGCUCAGACACCUCUGACUCAUACCAAGUUUCUGCAGGGCCUGACACAACAGGUCGACAGACUCUCCUUGAAAUCAAACAACAGCAAGCACAAGGUGACGGUGUCUUGGCCAGGAAGGACCCAGAUUCAAGACAGUCCUCAGAGGCACAACUCCAAGCUAAAUAAAUGUUGAUGAACUCCUUUCUCUUCAGCUCUGUGUAGUUCUGAUGCCUUUAUUUUGCUUUCCUUCCAGCUGGAAAGAAAGUUCAUUGAGAAUGAAAGCUAGUGACUCGCAGUGAGCAGUGACAGAUGCUGCCUGCCUGCAUGUGUGAAAAAACUCUGACAGGCAGAAAUAACACACCUCACAUGUCUUGUGGUGGCAGUGAAGCAAUAAAUAUUCUAAUAGACUACUAAGGCUCA